GCGCCUGUAGCUCAGUGGAUAGAGCAUCGGCCUCCGACGCCGUGUGCGCUGGUUCGAUCCCAGUCAGGCGUACCA
rnacentral:tRNA from 1 species